rnacentral:rRNA from 1 species
GGGUCGGUUCGGCCGGAUUUUACACAAGUGUUGCAUGGCUGUCGUCAGCUCGUGUCGUGAGAUGUUGGGUUAAGUCCCGCAACGAUCGCAACCCUCAUCCUUAGUUGCUAUCAGGUAAUGCUGAGUACUUUAAGGAAACUGCCAGUGAUAAGCUGGAGGAAGGUGGGGAUGAUGUCAAGUCAUCAUGGCCUUUAUGGAGUGGGCUACACACGUGCUACAAUGGUGUCUACAAUGGGCUGCAAGGUGCGCAAGCCUAAGCUAAUCCCUAAAAGACAUCUCAGUUCGGAUUGUACUCUGCAACUCGAGUACAUGAAGUUGGAAUCGCUAGUAAUCGUGGAUCAGCAUGCCACGGUGAAUACGUUCUCGGGUCUUGUACACACUGCCCGUCACGCCAUGG